rnacentral:rRNA from 1 species
CCCUUAGAUGUCCUGGGCUGCACGCGCGCUACACUGAUGUGUCCAGUAAGCACCUAACCUCUUCCGAAAGGAACGGGUAACCUUUGCAAAGCACAUCGUGAUGGGGAUAGAUUAUUGCAAUUAUUAAUCUUGAACGAGGAAUUCCUAGUAAACGCAAGUCAUCAGCUUGCAUUGAUUACGUCCCUGCCCUUUGUACACACCGCCCGUCGCACCUACCGAUUGAAUGACUCGGUGAAAAAUUGGGACUGUGAUUGAAAUUGCUUCAUUGCGAAUUUAAUCGUGGAAACUUUCUUUAACCUAGGCAUUUAGAGGAAGGUGAAGUCGUAACA